rnacentral:rRNA from 1 species
UGCGCCUUGCCAGCCCGCUCAGAAACUUAAAUGAAUUUGACGGGGGCCCGCACAAGCGGAGGAGCAUGUGGUUUAAUUCGAUGAUACGCGAGGAACCUUACCUGGGCUCGAACGUAAGAUGACUGUAGGUGAAAGCUUACAUCUCUUCGGAGCAUUUUACGAGGUGCUGCAUGGUUGUCGUCAGCUCGUGCCGUGAGGUGUCGGGUUAAGUCCCAUAACGAGCGCAACCCCUACCUUUAGUUGCCAUCAGGUUAAGCUGGGGACUCUAAAGGAACUGCCUACGCAAGUAGUGAGGAAGGCGGGGAUGACGUCAAGUCAUCAUGGCCCUUACGGCCUGGGCUACACACGUGCUACAAUGGUCGGUACAAAGGGUUGCCAAGCCGCGAGGUGGAGCUAAUCCCAUAAAACCGAUCGUAGUCCGGAUCGCAGUCUGCAACUCGACUGCGUGAAGUCGGAAUCGCUAGUAAUCGUGAAUCAGAAUGUCACGGUGAAUACGUUCCCGGGCCUU